ACGCACGCUGGCGGCGUGCUUCACACAUGCCAGUCGAACGGUAAGGCCCCAGCUUGCUGGGGUACACGAGUGGCGAACGGGUGAGUAACACGUGGGUGACCUGCCCCGCACUUCGGGAUAAGCCUGGGAAACUGGGUCUAAUACCGGAUAGGACCGCACCGUGAGGGUGUGGUGGAAAGUUUUUCGGUGUGGGAUGGGCCCGCGGCCUAUCAGCUUGUUGGUGGGGUAAUGGCCUACCAAGGCGGCGACGGGUAGCCGGCCUGAGAGGGUGGACGGCCACAUUGGGACUGAGACACGGCCCAGACUCCUACGGGAGGCAGCAGUGGGGAAUAUUGCACAAUGGGCGGAAGCCUGAUGCAGCGACGCCGCGUGGGGGAUGACGGCCUUCGGGUUGUAAACUCCUUUCACCAUCGACGAAGGUUUUCUGACGGUAGAUGGAGAAGAAGCACCGGCUAACUACGUG
rnacentral:rRNA from 1 species